GACGAACGCUGGCGGCGUGCUUAACACAUGCAAGUCGAACGGAAAGGCCCUGCUUGCAGGGUACUCGAGUGGCGAACGGGUGAGUAACACGUGGGUGAUCUGCCCUGCACUUCGGGAUAAGCCUGGGAAACUGGGUCUAAUACCGGAUAGGAGCCAUUUUUAGUGUGAUGGUUGGAAAGUUUUUUCGGUGUAGGAUGAGCUUGCGGCCUAUCAGCUUGUUGGUGGGGUAAUGGCCUACCAAGGCGGCGACGGGUAGCCGGCCUGAGAGGGUGGACGGCCACAUUGGGACUGAGAUACGGCCCAGACUCCUACGGGAGGCAGCAGUGGGGAAUAUUGCACAAUGGGCGCAAGCCUGAUGCAGCGACGCCGCGUGGGGGAUGACGGCCUUCGGGUUGUAAACUCCUUUCGCUAGGGACGAAGCUUUUUGUGACGGUACCUAGAUAAGAAGCACCGGCUAACUACGUG
rnacentral:rRNA from 1 species